rnacentral:rRNA from 1 species
GGCACGCUUAACACAUGCAAGUCGAACGGGAUCUUCGGAUCUAGUGGCAGACGGGUGAGUAACGCGUGGGAACCUGCCCAGUAGUAGAGAAUAACUUGAGGAAACUUAAGCUAAUACUUUAUACACCCUUCGGGGAAAAGCUUUAUGCGCUAUUGGAUGGGCCCGCGUUAGAUUAGUUUGUUGGUGAGGUAAUGGCUCACCAAGACUACGAUCUAUAGCUGGUCUGAGAGGAUGAUCAGCCACACUGGGACUGAGACACGGCCCAGACUCCUACGGGAGGCAGCAGUGGGGAAUAUUGGACAAUGGGGGCAACCCUGAUCCAGCGAUGCCGCGUGAGUGAUGAAGGCCUUCGGGUUGUAAAACUCUUUCGUCAGGGAAGAUAAUGACGGUACCUGAAGAAGAAGAUCCGG